rnacentral:lncRNA from 1 species
GGGGAGGGGAGAGAUCAAUGUGUGUUAGAGCCAAGGAAACAUUUAGUAAAGAUGGAAUUUAGCCCUUAAGGACUGUCAGGCCAGAGCAAUAGGAAGUACAAACAUUUCAUAUGUAGAGAAUAACACGAACAAGGCACAAGAGCAGAAAUAUGAGUAACAGCCUCAGUGGGUCCUAUUCGUUAUGCACCUAUCAUGUCCCUUGCACUAUGCCGGGCCCUUUGCACUCAUUAUAUACGAUGCUCACAGCAAUCCUGAGAUUGUGAGGCGGGUAUUUUACAAAUACAAGAAGUCAGUUUUAGAGAAGUACUAAAUGGCAGACUCAGGAUUCAUGUCUGCACUUCAUUCACUGCGUAGGAAGGUGAGGGUGGUUAAGGAGGUGCCACUCUGGGAGCAGAAGGCAGUCACUGGAGCAGAUCAGUGGAGCUACGUUACGGAGAUCCGGGAUGGUCCGUGAGGAUGCUGGGCCUCACCUGCCUCUUCCUCCUGCUUGCCACCUCUCAGUCACAAGACGGCUGCUGCGACUCAGGCUCAUGUCCCAAUUCAAGGCAGCAAGAAGGCCAUGGAGCGGCACCUGCCAGAUGCCCCUGCAGGCCAUCUCUCCAGGCUCAGGAACCUAAAGAAGAAUCUACCCAGAUGUGGUGGCUCACACCUGUGAUCCCACCACUUUGGGAGGCUGAGGCAAGAGGAUCACUUGAGCCCAGGAGUUGGAGACCAACGUAGGCAAUACAGCAAGACUCCCAUCUCUACAAAAAAAAAAAAGAAAGAAAGAAAGAAAGAAAAGAAAUUAGCUGGCUGUGGUGCUGCACAUUUGUAAUACCAGCUACUCUAGAGGCUGAGGCUGGAGGAUCACUUGAGCCGAGGAGUGAGCUAUGACCACACCAUUGCAUUUCAGCCUCAGUGACAGAGCAAGGCCCUGCCUCAAAAAAAAAAAAAAAAAAAGAAAAGAAUAAGAUAAAAUAAAUAAUACAGGAGAACCUAGUGCUCAGGUUCUCUAGUGAAGAGGAAGGCAAAAGAUAGAAAGGUCAGACAAACUUAAACAUGCAUUCCAAGAUCGGCCUGGGUCCGCCCGUAGACAUGAAGGAAUCUUCUGGUGGAAAGUUAGGCAGGGAAACGGACACUGCUAUGAGCAUGUCUUCCUGGGCAGCUUGCGAUGGUCAGGAGGAGGUGGUUGUUCCUCAGCAGCGGUGCUUCCGAUGAAGCCCCAUGUUGUAGUGGAAGACAAGCCAUUCCUGUCUGACCUUCUGUGCCGCGCCUAGGCUUCCAAAAGCUGCUAUCGCCAAGAUCCAUUUCCGUUCACCUUUAAACUGCUUGUUAUGGGGAGGAGUCAGCCAGCCAUGAUGCAUACUUGUUACAGAAAGAAACGCCCACGUUGAGCUCUCCUGAUAAGAAGAGAGAGCAUUCGUCAUUGUCUGUAUCUGUCAUCUGAAGAAGGAACCAAUGUCAAAAAUCCCACACAUUCUCCUCCCGCAAGUCACAGAGUAAGCCUCCCAUUCUUGAGCUCGUUCAUUCACCAAACACAUUCUGAUCUCUCCUGUGCCCAGGCGGUGGGAUUCAGAGAAGAAGUGCUGCCUAGUAGUCAGCACCCAGUGCCAGGAAAACAGGACAAGGGGAGUUGUCGGGGGAGACACCAGGAUUGAAGUUGCUUUUACUAAAAAACAUUUUUUUUAUCUUGUUAACAAAUAUAUUUACCAUGGUACAUGGUGGCAAUGCUCUCAGUUUUAAAACACAGCAAUUAUCUUCCAGUGGUCACUAAUUAAUCCAGGUGUGGCUAGGAACAGCUGGAUACUGAUCUGUGUGAUGAUGGCACCUCUAUCAUCAGGCUGCCAUUGCUGGCACUUUGGGCAAGGUGGACUGGGGUUCUGCUCUGGGGCUGUGUGCCCAAGGUUUACACCUCACUAUUUUACAGCACACUGGAGCUCCCAACAGUCCCCGAAGGUCUGGAGAUCACCAAUGGGCAGGAGAGAAGGGAGGGGUUUAGACAUCAGGGAGCCAAGUUCUACAGCAUCUUCUAGAUCCAGGCUAUCGAGCACUUGAAAUGCGGCUAAGUCUGAAUUGAGAUGUGCUGUGUGUAAGAGACACAACAGAUUUUGAAGACAGUAUGAGAAAAAGAACAUAAAAUAUCUCAGUAAUUUUAUAUUGAUUACAUGUUGAAAUGAUACUAAUUUUUGAUAUACUGGGUUAAAUAAAAUAGAUUAUUAAAAUUAA